ensembl:lncRNA
AUUUCUUCUUAAAGUUUUAUACUUUAGGCUUGCCUAUUUAGGUUCAUAGAUCCCUUCAAGUUAUUUUUAUGUAUGGAAAUAAAGGGUUGAGGUUAAUUUUUUAUGUACAGAUACCAGGUGUUCUACUGCCAUUUUCUGAAAACACUAUCUCUUCCUUGGCUCUUGAAUUGAGUUUAUAUUCUAUAAAAUGCUAAUUUUAAAUAAUCUUUCAAAACUCAGUGGACCAUAUAUGUGUGGUUCUAUUUCUAGAUUCUCUGUUUUAUUCAAAAGAUCUAUAUGUCUUUCCUUACACCAACACUGCCUUGAUUACUGUAGCUUUAGAAGAAGUCUUAAAAUUAGGUACUAAAUGUCUUCCAACACUGUUUUUUUUUUCUUACUUUUCUAGGUCCUUUGUACUCCUACAUAACUUUUAAAUUUCAAUAUCCAAUUCUUCAUUUAUAGCAAGUAUACACAGACCUGAAUUUUUAUAUAUACCUUGUGUUUUCUAAUCCUGCUAAAUUCAAAUACAAGUUCUAGGGGCUCCUAGAGAUUUCUUAGUAUUUUCUCCAUAGAUGAUCAUCUCAUCUACAUAUAAAGAUUUUGCUUCUACCUUGCCAAUCCUAUCCUAAUUGUGUCAUUUUAUUGCCAGACUAUUUUGGUGGGGCCUAGGUUUCAAAGUUUAAUGGACAGAUGAAGAGUAGGCAUAUCUGCCCUUGUUCCCCACCUUAAGGAGAAAGCAUUGUAUCUUCUCAAUUCAUAUAAGGUAUUCUCACUGGAAGUAUGGAGUACAUGUCUUUAAUCUGUUGAGAAGGCUCUGUUCUACUUCUAGGCUCCUGAUAGCUUUUACCAUGAACAGCUGUAGAAUUUAGUCCAAUACUUUUUCUGCAACGAGUGACAGGAUCAUAUGGCUUUUUCCUUUCCUCUGUUAAAAUGAUGACUUAUGGUGGUGAAUCUUCCAAUGCUGAACCAACACUGCCAUCCCUAUAACUAAACCACUUUCUACAUACUGCCAGAACUGACUUCUAUGUUCAUACUUUUUUCUUCUAUUAUCUUUAUCCAGUUUUAGGAUUAGCACAAUGUUGAUUCCUAAAAUGAGGGCAGAAGUGUUUCUUUUUUUUUCUGCUUUAAAUGUUUGAUAUAAUUAAUCAGUUAAAAUGUUUAUGAGCCUGUUGUUGUCAUAUAGGUAGGUUUUCAAUAUAGGAAUAUACUUUCUUUAAUAGGUGCUAUUCAAAUUUUAUAUUCCUUCCAGAGUCAGUUUCAUUAAUUUGUCUUCCAAGGUACUUCUUAGAAGUUGUCAAAUGUAUUUCAAAACAGAUUUUUGUAAUAUGCUUUCUAUAGCCUUUUAAAUUCUGUAAAAUCUGUGGUAAUGUGUCCUAGGUCUUGAUAUUUUAAUCCUAAAAAUGUAUAAUUGAUAUUGUAUAAUAGGAUGUAAAGGUCUAAAGGAGCAGGGGAAGUGGGAGAGGUAAGGGAUAGGAAAGAAGGGGAAAAAUAUGAGAAAAGUAAAAAAAUGGAAACAAAAUCUUUGCAAAUAGAGAAGGGUGGAAGGGGUGAAGGGAGGGCAGGUGAAGGGGAAAAAAAUAAGAACCAAGAUACUCAUGUAAUGGUACAAGACCCCAAUGAUGUAUGUAACUGUAUUUUAUUCCUAAAAUGUACCAAUACACUUAAUGGGGAAAAAAAUGAAAAUGUGAAUUUAUGUGUGUCUUUUGGGAACUCCUAGAAAAUAUGAUCCAUUUACCAGAAUUCUUGGUUGAAUACCUAAAACCAACAUUUCUAAUACAAAGAAUAAUCAAAGUAUUGUAUGUUGAAAGACUAUACUUUAUAUUGUUUAGUAAAAAAAAAAAAAAAAGAAAAAACCUUCUUGAGAUUAUUGAAAAAAUAUCAGAUUGGGGGCAAUGUGGAGAACUCAUUUGUUCCCACUUCUCAAAGACAUUCCAUAUUUUUUCACAGAUAAUAAUUCUGAAAUCUAAAGACUAAGCCAUCUGAGAAAGAACCCUAAAUAUUUCCAUAUUAAUGCCUGCUUCCCAUGAUACGACUGGGCAUUCCUGGAUCUUCUUUUGUUCACUGAAUUCUCCAUGCUCCAGACCCAACUACAGAACCAACAUCACCAAAGCCUCACUGGCUCACGGAGUCCUUGUGAAAACCAGGAGAUGCUAGUGGUCAGAGCAUGGUUUCAGGAAUGGUCUUUCCGAGGUCUCCUCUCUUCUCCAUUCUUCUACCCCUGUGAAGGUCAAACUACCCAUGAGCCCUUUCCCUUUCACUCAAAUCAACACUUAGCAGUAAUCCCUUUUAUAUGUAAUACAGAUAUUCUUCUAUGAACAACCUACCUGUUCAAUGACUGUUCAUAUUUCGACCCACCACUUGGACUAAUGACCCAUCUUUUAAAUUUGUAUAAUUCUGUACAUGUUGUCGACAGAGCCUCAAUGUCUCUUUUUUGUACAGUACACCUUGUUUACACAGUACAGUCAUUUUUGCUGAUGAUACCGUACAGUACAGUACUGUAGUUUCAUGUUCUGUUACACAUUAUAGUACCACAUAUAAGAGGUAUGCAAAUAAAAGCCAAGUCUUCAACUCGGAGUUUCCUUUGACCAUUUCUUUGUUCUGCACCUUGUAAUGCACAUAUAAUAUGUAAUUCCUCAUUUAGUGGCCAAUUCAUUUAACUACCAGGUCACAGGAAAGGAAGUCAGUCAUGAAAUUAGGAAUCCCUGUGGCUACUAUAUUUAGGCACAUUCACUAAGCAUGUUAGGCAAAUAAACAGCAUUCAUGAAAGGACAAAUAUCUUCAAAAUAUGUGUUAUCUCUGUAAUGUCUGAUACUCGAGAAAAAUAAGCUACCUGACAUUUUUGGGCUAUUGAGGCAAAAUAGCCUCAAUAGCCACAAAAUAUAUGGUUUGCCUGUUUCGAUGCAGAAGGGAGUGAUUUGGAGCACGGUCUCAUGAGACCUGUUGAGCACAUGUGACACAGGCUGAACAGCUGUGCCAGAGGGCCAGAAAAAUGUCUCAUUGCUCUCCUUUAAUAGAGCUCACUUCUAAGGACUGUUUGCUUCCAACAGUUCCCAGGUGAUAAGAAAACCGAUUCACUGGGAGGUAAAUAAAUUCUCAGAUAGAAACAGACUCUUUAAAAGUAAUAUUACCUUUGAAACUUUUUGAUAUGCAGUAAUUUCUCAUAUCACACAGGGCACAUAUUUUCUCCAGGGUUAAACAUACACUUCUGAGACAGGAAACAAUUCAAUAAUUAAUUAUUACUGUGAUUCUUGACUCUGGGAUUGUUUUAUGUGUUUAAUUUUUGUCUUCCACUCCUGUCUAGGCAGCUUGUCUCCCAAUACUUUAUAUGUCUUUCUUUCCUCCAAGGCAUUUACUGCACAGGCGGACAGAACAGUGGCUCCAUGAAUACCAGUUUCACAGUCGAGGAUAUCUGGUAUUUCCAGUGAUGUUUAGAGUUCAGUGGGUUUAUGGUUCCAUGACAUCUUAUUAUUUCAGGUUGUCUGCCAGUCUUCAUAGAAGCAGCAGCAAAUCUUCUGGCUGUCUGAUUCUCAGGCCAGGAGAUUAUAUUCGAACUCUCCAGGUUCUCCAGCCUGUCAGAUGCAGAGGUGAAAAUGUGUCAGCUGCUGUGAUCAUGCACGCUAAUUCCUUAUAAAAUACAUGUAUACAUUAUAUUGUUUCUGUUUGUCUGUAGAUCCCCAAUACCUAUCGCAUACUGGCUUAAUAUUCUCAAGCUCAUUUUAAUUUAGUUUUGCCUCUGUUCAUUCAAAGUGAUCGUGUUUGAAUAAAGAAGAGGAGGAGAAAUAUUAGUUUUUCCUUCCCUCUUCAGACACAGUGCUCAGCCCUGGAUUUCUAUUCGAAACAGGAAAUGGAUUUGCCGAUGAUACUAAAGAAAUGGGAUUGAUAAAUCCAUCUACAACUUUGACAUGUCCUAUGCUUUAAUAUCCACAAACACGGCAGUACUCAGAUUCACAAUAACGUUAUCAUGCUUUCAGGUGAAAAAGUAUCUGAACUGCAUAUGACAGAUUCCCAUGACAAGUGUAUUCCAGGUGCUGCUAAUGGCUAUCUUUUGGGAGGUGUGUGUCAGUUAAUAUGUUUGUCAACUUGACUAUAUUAAGGAACUCCUGGAAGCCAGGCAUGGUGGAGCAAUCCCAGGAUUCAGGAGGCUGAGGCAGGAGGAUUGCUGCAAGUUCAAGGCCAGUCUUGGCUACAUAGUGAGUUCAAGGCAAGCCUGAAAAACAUAGUGAGACUCUGUUUGAGAGAAAGAGAGAGAGAGAGAGAGAGAGAGAGAGAGAGAGAGAGAGAGAGAGAGAAAGGGGG